CUGAAAGAUUUGGGGUGAAAUUGUGGCCAAUGGGAAUUUUGCCAUCAACUUCAAAAGAUUCAAAUUUCAUCCUAGAUCUAUCUUAUUUGUUUAGCAAGAAAGUGCUUAUUUUUCUAUUCUUUUUUUUGUCCACAAACUGUCAGCAUUGCAUGAAACAAACCAUCUUGAUUUCCAGAGUGCUUUUCAAAAGCCGGGUGAUUGCCAAAAUUGCAAAUCCAAUUUGUUCACAGACUGACCAGUGUGUGAUCAUUCCAAUUAUAUUUGGCACAUGUCAAGUGGAAGAAUCAAACCUCCCUCUUUUUGGAUCACUUAUAAACACUUCAAAAAAUAAACUCCCAAUAUAAUUAGCUGCUGAAAUGCUUGGCGAGUUGCCCUUAAAAAAAUCCCCAUCAGGAAACACACCCCCUUGAUUCUUCCUGGGCACGUUCUUCCAUAAGAGACUCAGAUCUUGUCCCCUGCACUGGCACUGAUUAGUGUAAUCCUCCUGACUGCCUGUGGGUACCCCCAAAAACUAGUUUUCCCACAACUGAGGUCCAGGAACUGUGUUACAUGAGAGCUGGAUGAUGUGGCAACACUCCCCCCCAGCUCCCAUUAAGCACAAACUGCUGCUAAGCCCAUGUGCAAGCUGGAAGUGUGCAGCAGAGCUCACUGGCGCCCUUAGCCUGCAAAAACUCUGCUAAUGAUCCAUGUUGAGGGUUUUUUUGCAAUGCAUCAGUGAAAAUGCAUUAUCCUGUCAAGCUGUCUGAAACCCUGUGUAGGAGCUACCUUUUCCAGAAUGAAUCUACCUUAAAUCUUAAAAACAGUUUGCAUAAUGCUGCCAAAAUGCAAAGGAAGAGUUGGUGAGCCUGUUACCUGGUUUUGCUGCUAUCUGGAAACACAAGAGCUUUUCCUCUUAUUUCUUUACUUCUUUUUUUCUUUUUUUUGUCUUCCUUUCCAAUGAUUGUCAUGAGAAUCGCUUCAAAACACUCAGAAACUGAGAAAGAAAAAAAUUCAGUGCUGAAGAAGGAUAGCAGAAUAGCAGAUAAAUGUAUAAUAGAACUCAAGCUCAUUCACCAAAACUACAUUUUUAAGCACAGUUUGUCAAGAAAGAAAACAUGCAUUUGGACUUUUAAAAGUCAUAUACUUUACCACCAGAACCCUGGGGACCUCCCAGUGCCUAAUCAUAAUAGCAUGUUACUUCUGAAAACAUUUUGCCUCUACUGCCUGCUGUUUUUAGCAACUUUUGUGAGUACCCAUUUUGUGUGGGAAGACUUAUCAACUAAAAUAAUAAUUCAGCCCCAUCUCACAACAACUUCUGUAAAAGAAAAAACACUUUUCCACUCCAUGGAUGCCCACUUGACACAACACCUCAUUUGUUCCUGGUGAAGAAUUUCCUGAUGAUUGCUUUCCAUUUUCCUCAUCUUCUGCAUCCCAGUUCAGUUCUCAUGUAGGACAUGACCAAAGGCAUGCUUUAGACAAGUCCGAAUGGUUUGGCUCCGGUUCAUCCCCCUUACCCAGGAAUAGCUGAGCACGAAAGUUGCCAGAUAAGCCGUGCAGAAUCCAUAUUUGGUACUGCAGCUAGCCCCACUUUAAUGUGUGGUGUUGGGACUUUCUGCCUCUUUAUACAUGUGUAUUUCUGGAUGUCUAUAAAUCGGCCACUCAGGAUGGUUCCAGACAGAUACUUGGCUUCCAGACUCUAAGUGCAGAGAAGAAUGGUUUUCUUUUCUUCCUGUACUGACAAAAGUAGAUGUGAUAGUGUUUUAGCCACACCACUGGAAUGCACAUAGCUCAGGCAGACAAUUGCACCCCAAGUACUUGCAUCCUGCCCCCUCAACAAGAAUAAGGAAUGUGAACAAUGAGUGUCCCAGCAUCUGGGAGUACACAGGAACAACGGACACAAGAAGCACCAAAUCAUCAGGACUGCAUUUGCAAUCUUGUAUCACAUGCCUGAAUCCUGGAUAUAUCCCAGAUAUUUCUGGUGAGGCUUUGCUGACAGCUCCUGAAGCACAGCUUACCCUGCUCCCAGAAAACGAGACUAUGGGCAAGGAGACCCCAACCUUCUCAUACCAGAGGGAAAG